UACGUAGGGAGCAAGCGUUGUCCGGAAUCAUUGGGCGUAAAGAGCGCGUAGGCGGCCCUGUAAGUCGGGUGUGAAAUCCCACGGCUCAACCGUGGAAGUGCAUUCGAAACUACAGGGCUAGAGUUCUGGAGAGGAAGGUGGAAUGCUUGGUGUAGAGGUGAAAUUCGUAGAUAUCAAGCGGAACACCGGUGGCGAAGGCGGCCUUCUGGACAGUAACUGACGCUGAGGAGCGAAAGCGUGGGGAGCGAACAGG
rnacentral:rRNA from 1 species